UUUCCAAAUUUUUUAUUUUGUAUCUUUCUUGGAUACACAGAUAUAAUCUUUUCCCUACUUUUAGUCAAGUCUUAUCAUUCUCUUACCAUACUCUCUUUGCUAUCUCUCUACUAUCUUUGCUAUCUCUAACCCAUCUUCCGUUUUGAAAACUAAGCCAUCUUCCACCGUCUUUCAUCUUCAACCUCUGCAUCUUCCGUCUUCAACCUUUCCAUCUUCUUUGGAAACGGCAAUUUUUUCUUUAAAUUUUGCUAUAUCCUGAAAAUAUUAUUAAACUUUUCAGGUUUGGUAUUGUUGUUUCAUCUACCAUUGCUUCAUCAUUCAAGAUGUUAAAGACAACAGUAUAGCAUAUUCCUCUCCCUCUUAAUGUUCUUUCUUCUUCCUCUUAAUGACAAUAUAGGUUUUUACGGAUACUCAUUAAAAUUUGGGGAAAAUCGGCGGCGCCGGUGGUGCGCAAAGGGGAGCGGAGGACAAAAGGUUACUCCGGCGGCGGUGACGAAUUUGUGAGGAACGAGUGGGGGUCGGGAUUCGCAAAUUUCCGGAGGUAGAAGAUAAGUGAAUUUAGGUUCAUGGCUAAACAAAGCUAAAUAUCUGGGUAUUGACACAGGUUGGUGAUUUUGGUUUGUCUAAAAUUAAACGAAAUACCUUAAUUUCUGGUGGGGUGCGGGGCACUCUACCUUGGAUGGCAGCGGAGCUGCUGAAUGGUAGCAGCAGCAAGGUCUCAGAAAAGGUGGAAUUGUUAACAACACACUAAGACAAACAAUUAUGAAUUAUUGUGAUCUUGAAUGGAGGACGCUGAUGGAGCAAUGUUGGGCACCAAAUCUAGCACCUAGGCCAUCUUUCACAAAAAUAGCGAGUCGGUUGCGUAUUAUGUCUUCAAAAACUAGCCAGGCCAAAUCACCAUGCCUCAAGGCAUCCAAAUGAUUGAAACAAAUGCAUGGUGGUGUAGUGUUUGUUUCUAUCUUUUGCCAUUAUUAUAAGCAUGGAUGCUUUCUUCUUUUAAUAUUGAAAUUGAUGGUUCAUUGAUUGGUCAUCAUCCAGGGAAGUAUUUGAUGAAUUUUGUAAGUCAAAAGUCCAUGGCUGAUUGAAGUAUUGUUAUACACUAAACUACAUUCACAAAAGUUCAGAAUGAUUUAGCUGUUUAAUUAGUUUUUUUUAGUUCCCUCUUUCUUCUCAAA